CGUCAAGAAAAUUUAGUAAUGUUAUUGUUGAAUUUUCGGAUUCGGCACAUAACGCGAAGUGUCGCGAAGCGGUUAAAAACGAAUAGUUUUUCAAUUUACUGAAAUAUUCUGAAGAUUGGAUAAUUAAUGUUAGGUUUAUUUUGUGUGCAUAAUAUGUUAAUGAUAGGCUCAUUAAAAUUUUUUUAGAAAACUUCGUUAAUUUGUUUAAAAUGUAAAUUGAACUCAUUUUAAUAAAGUAUUCUCGAAGACCAAAGUUCGUGCCGGUAUUGCCGUCACUACACUUGUUUCGAAAGAUAAGAUAUUUGAAAGUAAACAUUAUCCCGUACAAAUAGAGUCGAAGUUGUAAUAAAAACUGAACUUCAACAAGUAGGAAAACAAUACUGACUAACGCGAGAAAAUGCUAAUUCUUUCGUCACACACUUUAUCAAUGAUUCUUAAUCAAAGCAAAGUUAAUUACGUUAGUAGAUAACAGCUUAUUACCCAAUUCAACAGUCGUUGGAUUUCGUGACGUUAAAAAUGACAAGUUUAAGUACAAAAAGUAUUGUGUUCCAUAAAUUAAUUCGAAAUGUUAAUAACUACGCUAAAAGAAUGUCUUCACAUUUUAUUUAUUAUCCAGAUAAAGAAAGGCCAGUAGAUGGAGAAACGACAAAGAUGAAUAUGAUGCAAGCAAUAAACAAUGCAAUGGACAUCACAUUGAAGAAUAAUCCAACUGCUGUAUUGUUCGGUGAAGAUGUCGCAUUCGGGGGUGUCUUCAGAUGUGCUUUGGGGUUACAGGAGAAAUAUGGCAAGGACCGUGUUUUCAAUACUCCACUAUGUGAACAGGGUAUUGCCGGCUUCGGUAUAGGUCUAGCCACUGCAGGCGCAACUGCUAUUGCUGAAAUACAAUUUGCUGAUUACAUAUUUCCAGCAUUUGAUCAGAUAGUGAACGAAGCUGCCAAAGCGAGGUACAGAUCUGGAGGGGAGUACGACAGCGGCGCCCUCACGGUCCGCGCGCCCUGCAGUGCGGUCGGGCACGGCGGACUCUACCACUCCCAGAGUCCGGAGGCCUUCUUUGCACAUGUCCCCGGUCUCCGGGUGGUGGUGCCUCGCGGGCCCAUAGCGGCCAAGGGUCUGCUGCUGGCCUGCAUCCGCGAGAGGGACCCCUGCGUGUUCCUGGAACCGAAGAUACUGUACCGGUCGGCAGCCGAAGAAGUACCCGUCGAGGAUUACACGCUACCGCUGGGAAAGGCGCAGACGUUAAGAGUCGGCGCCGCGGCCACGCUGGUGGGCUGGGGCACGCAGGUUCACGUGCUGCUGGAGGUAGCAGACAUGGCGCGGGACAAGCUCGGCGUCAGCUGUGACGUCAUCGAUCUGCAGUCGAUCCUGCCCUGGGACGAGGAGACCGUGUGCAAUGUGAGUACUCUCGCCAAACUUGUCGCUGCGAUUUGUUUAUCGGAGACGUUGUAACUGUAGUGAGACCUUAGAACUCAUGUCUCGAGGCGGGUGGUGCAAUUUACGUUGUAGAUGUCUAUGGGCUCCGGCGACCACUUAACACCAGGUGGGCUGUGAGAUCGUUAUAAAAAUAUUAGAAAAAACUACUUUAAAAAUCCUAUUUCUUCAAGCAUUUUUCCCUAUUGUCACAAAAUAUUUACCAAUUUAAUAACUUAGCGGUUGGUUAACUUAUCUUGUGUGUGAAAAAGAUAUCGAUUAUUUUAGGAAUUCCCGCCUCACGCUACAACGAUUACAAAAUUGCAGCAAAAUACCAAUAGUUCGUUGUUCACUCAAUCCCAAAAUGUUAAGUUAUUUACUGGUGGUAGGACAUCUUGCGUAUAGAUCACGAAUAAACACAUACAAUACUGGUGGUAGGACCUCUUGUGAGUCCGCACGGGUAGGUACCACCACCCCACCUAUUUCUGCCGUGAAGCAGUUUCGGUUUGAAGGGUGGGGUAGCCGUUAUAACUA